GGGUAGAUUGUAAUACCCGAAAAAUUCAAAUUAACGUCCGAUGUCAUUUUGGAAAUGAUUUCGUAGGCGUGGGCACGAAUACGAAGCUUGAAGGAGUUGUGGAAUUAGUUCGAACGAUUUUAUUUCGAAAACGAACGUUAUUUAGGGGGUCUUAAAAAGUGACUUCUUAUACGUACAGAAUUUGGGAAAACUUUCUUCAUGAAAGUUGUAGAGCUCGUCGAUACGAUCUCGUGCGUAUGUUGAACGCAAUAUUCGGAGUUUGUAUGAAUAAGUUAUGAAUAUUUGAAAAUCGGGAUUUUUUUUCUAUAAAUAUGGAGAAUUUCUGGAAUUUUUCUUAAAUCCCAAAAUUUCCUAUUCUUUCUAUUUUCUCCCCCGGUUUUCUCUCUUCUCUCUCCUCUCCCCCGACCUUUUUCUCUUCUUUCUGGGCGUUCUUCCUCUGCCAGCAGCGCCACCGUCCGGCCACCUCAAGCCGCUCUCGAGGUGUCCACGGCUUCGCCUCGACGUCGUCUAGCUACUGGACGUGACCACUUUCCCCGGAACGGCCUCAAAUCCGGCAAACCGGAGCUGCAAGGUUUGAGCCAAAAACAGUCAACGCCGGUUUUCUCCUAAUUCCGGCCACCAAAACUCACGAUCCUUAGCUCCCUGAACUCACCUCAACAUGCUGAUCAUCAUCCUAGAAGGAUCGCACCUGGAGUGACUGGAUUCACGUUCGUCGGAGCUUGGCCGGCUUUAAUUCGAAAACCACCUUCGAAUCCGAUUUUCUCGAGUUAUAGACCACCUUUUCUUGUGAUUCUUGGCCUGGUGAGUUCACCUUGAGAUUAUUAACAACUCUCAAGAAGGGAUCGAGGCCUGAGGUUGAAGUUUUUACGUCGGAAUUCAAGCUCGCCGGAUUCUGGAAAAUUUCCGACCACGAAGACUUUCGAUCAAGAUAUCGCGAGCUGUAGUGCAUCGUUUUGAUUGAUUCUUUUUCCAGUGGGUUCCCCUUGAUGUUGUUAACAACUCUCUAGAAGGCAUCGAGGCCUGAAAUUGAAUCUUUGACGUCGAAAUCGAGCCUUGCCGGAUUCUGCAAAAUUCUGGAAUUUUUCCGACCACCGAAGCUUUCGAUCGGUAUAUCUCGAGCUACAGACCAUAUUUUUCUGUGAUUCUUGAACCAGUGAGUUCUUCUUGAGUUUCUUAACAACUCUUCAGAAGGAAUCGAAGCCUUAAAUUGACGUUUUUACGUCGAAUUGGAGCUCGCCGUUUUCUGCAGUUUCUCGCCGGUUUCUGGAAAAUUCCGGCCACCUUCAUACUGUUCAAGGUGAUUGACGGUUUGAGUUGGCGGACGAUUGUGAAUCGUAUUUUGAGCUGUUAAGAAGACGCAGCGGGAUUAGAGCGGGUAAUCCUACAGGUCAGGAGAACCAGGACGGUGAUCGGGCUGCUUAGAGUAGUGUUAUGUGAAUUUCAGCAUUAUAUUGUGAGGUUUGUUAUGCUCAUUUAGAGCUUUACGAUUUUACUUUGUAAGAGUGAAUUGUAAUAAUUAACUCGAGGUUUUUCGAGUUUUGUGUUGAGUGGCGAGUGGUGUGUUUGUUUCUGAGAAAAAAAAAUUCAGAACGUUAUUUGUAUUAAUUGUUUAUUCAUGUUUCGGAUUUGAAUUUAUUAUUCAAAAUUCGGGGCGU